rnacentral:rRNA from 1 species
CCUUAAAGGAAUUGGCGGGGGAGCACAACAACGGGUGGAGCCUGCGGUUUAAUUGGACUCAACGCCGGACAACUCACCGGGGACGACAGCAAAAUGUAGGCCAGGCUGAAGACCUUGCCUGAAUCGCUGAGAGGAGGUGCAUGGCCGUCGCCAGUUCGUACUGUGAAGCAUCCUGUUAAGUCAGGCAACGAGCGAGACCCGUGCCCACUGUUACCAGCAUAUCCUCCGGGAUGAUGGGUACUCUGUGGGGACCGCCGGUGUUAAAUCGGAGGAAGGUGCGGGCCACGGUAGGUCAGUAUGCCCAGAAUUUCCCGGGCUACACGCGGGCUACAAUGAAUGGGACAAUGGGUCCCUCCCCUGAAAAGGGCUGGUAAUCUCACAAACCCAUCCUUAGUUCGG